AUUGGAAGGGCAGUUCAGCAGAGCACUCUCAAGGCAUGGGGUGGGAAAGAUGAAAACAUUAAGAAGGCUCAGGGUGCCUUCAUUGCUAGGUGCAAGGCAAACUCACGUGCAACUUUGGGAGAACUUACAAGGGUGAUGCUACCCUUGCUGAGGGUGCCUCCGAGUCUCUCCAUGUCAAGGACUACAAAUACUAACUAGAAAAGGUGUUGGCUUCUUUUGGAGAGUUUUUUUCCACUAUUUGGCACCAACGUUUUCAUGUUCUUUCUUUCAUAGAAGUUAGACUCGGCCGUUUUGCUUUGCGAUCUCGGUUAUAGGAGGUUUACGGAUUAAAGAAUAAUUGCAUCAAGCUAAAUUGGCUUGUUACCGUUGCUUUACAUUUUGGUUUUUCUCUGAUUGAGUUUUGCCAAAGAUGGAAACAAGAAGCACGAGGAAGAGCCACUCAAGGGGUUGUUUUUACUUGGAUAACAAUGGUGACCGGUCCUCUAUUUAUAACCAAGGAGAUGUCUAUUGUGGUAGUAUCAAUUACUAUUAUCAAAUGAGUCUCGGAGGCUACAAACAAGUGAUGGUUCUUCCAAUUCAAAUGUUGGAAAUGCAAUUAGGAGUGAUAAAUGCUUUAAAGCCUCAAUUAUGCAACCUCAACGGUCAUGGGUCCCAAAGCAGUCAAUAAUAUGGUCACCAUGACCUAUCAAGCUAAACAACAUAAAAGAUGUUCUGCUAGACUAAAAGUUGGUAUAAAUAUUUUGAUGUUACUUGCACUUUUCUCUAUCCAUCCUCCUAUAACACAAUAGAGCAUGGUAUCGAAAGAGCAACAUGGAACUCAUAACAUUGAAAACAUAAAAGCAUGUGUUGUCGUCCACAAACAUGGAAGAGGAAAAGGGAAUCGACAAACAUUGAAAGUGUGAUAUGUGCUUUCCUUAUUGAAAAGAGUAGACCCUCCUUUUUUUUCCCACAAAGGUGAAAGUGUGAAAGGUCUGUGGUUGAGGAGGGGAGCUGCAGGUUCCGACUUGCAAGAAGGUUUUGUCAUGAUGAUUGACGAUGGAAGAGGCAUGUUACGAAAUUUAAAUUUGAAUCGCAAUUUUGAAAGGUUCUGUAAAUGGAGGAAAUUACAAAGAAUUGGCAGCAUGACCAGCAAAUAGAUCAUCAUUGGUAAUUAAUCAUGUUGAUGGGUACUAUAUAUGAACUUUUUUGGGACUCACCAAAUUUUUGUCUACAGGUAAAUUGAUCUAUCAUAAAAAAGAUUUGCAGGUAAGAGUCUACGCAUCUUCCGUUUGGUCCUUGAGAGAGACAUGGUUUCAUCCUCCUUGAAAUAUAUUUAGACCCUUAAUUUUAUGUUAAUUUGCGUUUUUUUGUAUGGUACCUAUUUUUACUCAUUUGUCUCCAUUUUACUGAUUAACUAAUAAUUUUUUUUUCUUAUUCAAGGUACACUUUUAUUAUUUUAUGAUAGAUUAGACAAUUUAAACUAGUCUAAUGCCUAACAUUGGCUGCAGAUAAUGAAAAGAAAGAACCACGGCUGGUGGUUAGUUGCAUGCACACUCUUCAGUUUAAUCAUUUUCAGUUUCAUUGUCUUUGUCAAAAAAUAAGUUUUAGCUUCUUGAGUGUUGGUUUGAUUAAAUUUCGAGCAUCCUUAAUCCUUAUGAUUCUAUUUUUUACUUUGGCAGGUUCAGUGGGGAUUUAGGACAACUGAGAUGUACUAAAAUGGAUAAACAAUUAUUUGGACACUAAUGAAAUCAGUAUUUCAACACGUGUCUUAGGAGAUGGUGGACUAGUUCAUACGAAGAAACUCUUAUCAUACAAUAUGGUUUGAAAAUUUUCUUUUAGAAAAAAAAUUGCAGGGACUGUCUGUACUGCUAAAUACAUAUUCUUAUAUGGGAACAAAUUCUAAGAACUGAGUAUCUUUUCCUAGACUUGUUUCUUUGUUUGGUAUGAAAUUAAUACUUUCCUGGAGCUCUACAA